rnacentral:rRNA from 1 species
CCUACGGGAGACAGCAGUGAGGAAUAUUGGUCAAUGGGCGAGAGCCUGAACCAGCCAAGUCGCGUGAGGGAAGACGGUCCUAUGGAUUGUAAACCUCUUUUGCCGGGGAGCAAAAAGCGGUACGUGUACCGCAUCGAGAGUACCCGGAGAAAAAGCAUCGGCCAACUCCGUGCCAGCAGCCGCGGUAAUCCGGAGGAUGCGAGCGUUAUCCGGAUUUAUUGGGUUUAAAGGGUGCGCAGGCGGCGAGUUAAGUCAGCGGUAAAAUUUCGGGGCUCAACCCCGACAAGCCGUUGAAACUGGCGUGCUAGAGUGGGCGAGAAGUAUGCGGAAUGCGUGGUGUAGCGGUGAAAUGCAUAGAUAUCACGCAGAACUCCGAUUGCGAAGGCAGCAUACCGGCGCCCAACUGACGCUCAGGCACGAAAGCGUGGGUAUCGAACAGGAUUAGAUACCCUAGUAGUC